rnacentral:rRNA from 1 species
CCUGCCCACUGAUUAAUUAAAUGGCCGCAGUAAUUUGACUGUGCAAAGGUAGCAUAAUCAUUAGUUUUUUAAUUAAAAGCUUGUAUGAAGGGUUGGACGAGGUAAAAUCUGUCUCUAUUUAAUUUAUUGUAGAAUUUAAUUUUUAAGUUAAAAAGCUUAAAUUUUAAUAAAAGACGAGAAGACCCUAUAGAUCUUUAUAUUUUUUUAAUUAAUUUUAUUUAAGAUUAUUUUAUUUUUUAUUUAUGGGAAUAUUUUAUUGGGGUAAUAAGUAGAUUUGAUUAAUUCUUUUUUUUUAUUAUAUAAAUAAAUAGAUAUUUGAUCCAAUUAUUUUGAUUAUAAGAUUAAGUUACCUUAGGGAUAACAGCGUAAUUUUCUUAAAGAGUUCAUAUCGAUAAGAAAGUUUGCGACCUCGAUGUUGGAUUAAAAAUUAUUU